rnacentral:rRNA from 1 species
GGCCUUCCUCUAGCUCAGCCGCACAAUCCAACGAAAUAUUAAGAAUUUACUACAAGACCUAAACCAAAACAUUUGACUAGUCUUAGUAUAGGCGAUAGAAAAGACACCCCCCCCCCGACGCGAUAGAGAUCCUGUACCGUAAGGGAAAGAUGAAAUAAUAAUGAAAACCUAAAGCAAAAAAUAGCAAAGAUUAACCCUUGUACCUCCUGCAUCAUGAUUUAGCAAGAAUAACCAAGCAAAGUGAACUAAAGUUUGCCUUCCCGAAACCCAAGCGAGCUACUUGCGAGCAGCUACCUGUGAGCGAACCCGUCUCUGUUGCAAAAGAGUGGGAUGACUUGUUAGUAGAGGUGAAAAGCCAACCGAGCUGGGUGAUAGCUGGUUACCUGUGAAACGAAUCUAAGUUCCCCCUUAAUUUUCCCCAACGGAAGAGACUAACCUGAAUGAGAUGAUUAAGAGCUAUUUAGUGGGGGUACAGCCCCACUAAAAAAGGACACAACCUCCACUAGCGGAUAAACCACAUUGCUAAUCUUACUGUGGGCCUUAAAGCAGCCACCAACAAAGAGUGCGUCAAAGCUCAGCCACCCAAAGAUAUCGAAACAAAGUGACUCCCUUACCACAAACAGGUUAACCUAUGAACAUAGGAGAAUUAAUGCUAAAAUAAGUAACUUGGGACUACACUCCCUCUAACGGCGCAAGCUUACAUAGAACAUUAUUAACAGACAACUUAUAUGAAAACUCCUACAAGACUGCAUAUUACAUAACACUGUUAACCCGACCCAGGAGCGCCUACUAAGACGAUUAAAAUCUGUGAAAGGAACUCGGCAAACUAAUCAGGGCCCGACUGUUUACCAAAAACAUAGCCUUCAGCUAACAACAAGUAUUGAAGGUGAUGCCUGCCCAGUGACUUAAGUUCAACGGCCGCGGUAUCCUAACCGUGCAAAGGUAGCGCAAUCAAUUGUCCCAUAAAUCGAGACUUGUAUGAAUGGCUAAACGAGGUCUUAGCUGUCUCUCACGGAUAAUCAGUGAAAUUGAUCUCCCUGUGCAAAAGCAGGGAUGUGAACAUAAGACGAGAAGACCCUGUGGAACUUAAAAAUCAACGACCACCGCGGAAGACAAACUAAACCCAACGGGCACACUACCCUCCAGACACUUGGUCGACAUUUUUCGGUUGGGGCGACCUUGGAGAAAAACAGAUCCUCCAAAAACAAGACCACAUAUCUUUACCUAGAGACACCUCUCAAAGUGCUAAUAGCGACCAGACCCAAUAAAAUUGACUAAUGGACCAAGCUACCCCAGGGAUAACAGCGCAAUCUCCCUCAAGAGCCCAUAUCGACAGGGAGGUUUACGACCUCGAUGUUGGAUCAGGACAACCUAAUGGUGCAGCCGCUAUUAAGGGUUCGUUUGUUCAACGAUUAACAGUCCUACGUGAUCUGAGUUCAGACCGGAGCAAUCCAGGUCGGUUUCUAUCUAUGUGAUACUCUCCCUAGUACGAAAGGAUUGGGAAAGUGAGGCCAAUACUGCAGGCAUGCCUCCCCUCUAAAUAGUGAAACCAACUAAACUAUGAAGAAGACCAACACCACUUAAUCCACUAGUCCUAGAAAAGGACCA